UCCCCUAGAGUGUAGGGGUUUAGCAUAUCAGAUUUUCAGUAUCAAUGAAUACUAUCUCUAGAGACCCGGGUUCAAACCCCGGUGGGGGAA